AUUGAACGCUGGCGGCAGGCCUAACACAUGCAAGUCGAGCGAGCGGCGGACGGGUGAGUAAUGUAUGGGGACUGCCCGAUAGAGGGGGAUAACUAAUGGAAACGGUGGCUAAUAACGCAUACUAUCGGAUAACCCAUAUUGGAUUAGCUAGUAGGUUGGGUAACGGCGCACCUAGGCGACUAUCUCUAGCUGGUCUGAGAGGAUGAGCAGCCACACUGGGACUGAGAAACGUCCCAGACUCCUACGGAGGCAGAAGUGGGGAAGAUUGCACAAUGGGCUCAAGCCUGAUGCAGCCAUGCCGCGUGUAUGAAGAAGGCCUUAGGGUUGUAAAGUACUUUCAGCGGGGAGGCGUUACCCGCAGAAGAAGCACCGGCUAACUCCGUGCCAGCCGCCGCGGUAAUAC
rnacentral:rRNA from 1 species